rnacentral:rRNA from 1 species
GAACGAACGCUGGCGGCGCGCCUAAUACAUGCAAGUCGAGCGAGAAGACGUAGCAAUACGUUUGUAAAGCGGCGAACGGGUGAGGAAUACAUGGGUAACCUACCCUCGAGUGGGGAAUAACUAGCCGAAAGGUUAGCUAAUACCGCGUACGCUCCUUGGACUUCGGUUCAGGGAGGAAAGCGAUACCGUGGGUAUCGCGCUCUUGGAUGGGCUCAUGUCCUAUCAGCUUGUUGGUGAGGAACGGCUCACCAAGGCUUCGACGGGUAGCUGGUCUGAGAGGACGAUCAGCCACACUGGCACUGCGACACGGGCCAGACUCCUACGGGAGGCAGCAGUAAGGAAUAUUGCGCAAUGGGCGAAAGCCUGGCGCAGCGACGCCGCGUGGGGGA